rnacentral:rRNA from 1 species
GACGAACGCUGGCGGCGUGCUUAACACAUGCAAGUCGAACGGAAAGGCCCUGCUUGCGUGGGGUGCUCGAGUGGCGAACGGGUGAGUCACACGUGAGUAACCUGCCCUUGACUUUGGGAUAACUUCAGGAAACUGGGGCUAAUACCGGAUAGGAGCUCCUGCUGCCUGGUGGGGGUUGAAAAGUUUCGGCGGUUGGGGAUGGACUCGCGGCUUAUCAGCUUGUUGGUGGGGUAGUGGCUUACCAAGGCUUUGACGGGUAGCCGGCCUGAGAGGGUGACCGGCCACAUUGGGACUGAGAUACGGCCCAGACUCCUACGGGAGGCAGCAGUGGGGAAUAUUGCACAAUGGGCGGAAGCCUGAUGCAGCAACGCCGCGUGCGGGAUGACGGCCUUCGGGUUGUAAACCGCUUUCGCCUGUGACGAAGCGUGAGUGACGGUAAUGGGUAAAGAAGCACCGGCUAACUACGUG